AAUGAUUCUCAGAGUAUUUUGACCAGCGAAUAUGAAGAUCUAAAAAUAAAUGAUUCGGGUAAUUAAAAUAAAAAUAUGUGACUUUAAUUGAUUGAUGUUUUCACACCAAAAUUCUCCUUUUAAAAUUACUAUUUUUAACAAACAAACGUCCAACGCCUGACCUCAUUUUCACUAGUGCUUAUUGCGAGUCGAUUCGCAUUAGAAAUAUUUUUUUAAAUUUUGUUGUUGAAUUCUCGAAUUUCCGACAUUAUUAUGAGAAAAUACAGAAAAACGAAUAAAAAGUGACUUUUUUAUUUUUUGUUAUUGGAAAAUCUAAAUAUUAGAGUAAAUAUUUAUAACAAUAAAUACGAAAAUAAUAAUAAGCAUAAAAUUUAAAAGGAAAGCCAAAAGAAGAAUCAGAAAAAAAUCCCUCCCCAUAUGGUCAUCAUAGAGAUCCACGUUCCUGAGGAACCAUGGUGCUCCGACAGCUAUCCUGCAAAAUCGGGAUUGAUCAAGGUUGCGUUAAACGUUUAACGCUACCAUACUAGAAAGAGACAGAGCGACAGUGAAUGCGUGGCUCGCCAGCGUCAGCAACGAGUAGCGUCCAAUAUUUUAAUGAAGUAUUUAAAUAAAUAUAUUUUUAUUUA